rnacentral:rRNA from 1 species
CGGACGGGUGAGUAACGCGUGGGUAACCUGCCUUGUACUGGGGGAUAACAGUUAGAAAUGACUGCUAAUACCGCAUAAGCGCACAGUACCGCAUGGUACAGUGUGAAAAACUCCGGUGGUGUGAGAUGGAUCCGCGUCUGAUUAGCCAGUUGGCGGGGUAACGGCCCACCAAAGCGACGAUCAGUAGCCGACCUGAGAGGGUGACCGGCCACAUUGGGACUGAGACACGGCCCAA